rnacentral:rRNA from 1 species
UACGGAGGGUGCGAGCGUUGUCCGGAAUCAUUGGGCGUAAAGGGCGCGUAGGCGGCCGUCCCAAGCGUGCGGUGAAAGUCAGGGGCUCAACCCCUGAUCGGCCGUGCGAACUGGGGGGCUCGAGCACUGUAGAGGCAGGCGGAAUUCCGGGUGUAGCGGUGGAAUGCGUAGAGAUCCGGAAGAACACCGGUGGCGAAGGCGGCCUGCUGGGCAGUGGCUGGACGCUGAGGCGCG